GAGUCGCUAGCUCAGCUGGUAGAGCAACGGCCUUUUAAGCCGUGGGUCGUGGGUUCGGGUCCCACGCGACUCA
rnacentral:tRNA from 2 species